CACAUCAUGCUAGCUGGCAGCUCCACUUGGCUCUGCAAGGAGAAUGACGCCAGGUGAUUUUCACAAUGCAUCCAAGAGGAACUGAAUGUUACACUGGAUGCGAGCCAUGUGGUUGGCCUCAAGCUGGGGUUCGUUUGAGCCCAUGGCAGCAUCAGUGACACCCAAAAGGUCGGCAGGAGGCAGCCAUGGAUGUCCUGCGACUCAUCUCUCAGCUGGCUGGCUAGAGACUGUAGUGUUUCACCCACAAUGGUAAGAGCGAGAGCUCCUU
rnacentral:lncRNA from 1 species